CCAACUCUCCUUCACGCUUUUCUCUUGGUAACUGAGCAAUCUGGCACAAGUUCACACAAAAUAAGUGCAUAUGUUUAACCAUUAUAUAUGUAGACAAGAAAAGCUUGAUGGCGCAAAGAAGCUCAGAAUGCUAGCAGAGGUAUUAUGGCCAAAUAUCAUGCUCCAAAGGUCUAAGAUAGUUGCAGGUUGACUAGAUGCAAUCUCUAUGACUGGAAAGAAUAAUAACUUUCAAUUCCAAACUUCUUGUUUUGAGUAAUAUAUGUAGUUUCACAUUGGACACAUUAUUAUUUGGGAUAAACUGUUUUUGAGAAUUAUCAAUA